UACGGGGGGGGCAAGCGUUGUUCGGAAUUACUGGGCGUAAAGGGCUCGUAGGCGGCCAACUAAGUCGGAUGUGAAAUCCCCAGGCUUAACCUGGGAACUGCGUCUGAUACUGGAUGGCUUGAAUUCGGGAGAGGGAUGCAGAAUUCCAGGUGUAGCGGUGAAAUGCGUAGAUAUCUGGAGGAACACCGGUGGCGAAGGCGGCAUCCUGGACCAACACUGACGCUGAGGAGCGAAAGCCAGGGGAGCAAACGGG
rnacentral:rRNA from 1 species